GGACACCCUUCUGGGGCAAGACUUGCUUCAGUGGGGCUUUGGUGCUCACUGAGUCUGCCCUCUGAGUGUGUCCCU
rnacentral:pre_miRNA from 1 species